rnacentral:rRNA from 1 species
CACAGCCGCGGGAAUACGUAGGUGGCAAGCGUUGUCCGGAAUUAUUGGGCGUAAAGGGCUCGCAGGCGGUUUCUUAAGUCUGAUGUGAAAGCCCCCGGCUCAACCGGGGAGGGUCAUUGGAAACUGGGAAACUUGAGUGCAGAAGAGGAGAGUGGAAUUCCACGUGUAGCGGUGAAAUGCGUAGAGAUGUGGAGGAACACCAGUGGCGAAGGCGACUCUCUGGUCUGUAACUGACGCUGAGGAGCGAAAGCGUGGGGAGCGAACAGGAUUAGAUACCCGCGUAGUCCCUGUCUCUUAUACA